AUGGCCUUGCUGGCCUCUUGGGGGAAAAGAUUCUUUGACAAUAAUGACAGUGAUUGGAAGAAAAUUAUUGCUUACAAAUAUGACAUUAAUCAUCCUAAUAUUCUGUGGGCUAGAAAUGGGGUGGGCUCUACCUUCUGGAAGAGUGCUACCUGGGCUUUAUCUGCUGCAAAAACCUUUUAUAAGUGGAAAUUGGGCAAUGGGGAGAGAAUUAGCUUUUGGCAUGACACUUGGAUUGGGGAUUGUUCCCUUAAAACUCAGUUUUGGGAGUUAUAUUGCAUUUGUAACCAGACUGAGUGCUCUGUACCAGAAGUUUGGGAUGGUGAGAACCUUAAGCUGACCUUUAGGAAAUGCGUAGAUGAAGUGGUUUAUGAUGGCUGGAACCAAUUGGUUAGUCUGGUUAAAAACGCCCAGCUUAGUGAGGUUACGGAUACUCCCGUUUGGUCUCUGGAGACAAAUGGGAUAUACUCUGUCAAAUCAUUUUAUAAGCAGAUUAACUUUGGGGGCAGUCUCCAUUGUUGGAGAUAA
rnacentral:rRNA from 1 species